GAUGAACGCUAGCGGCAGGCUUAAUACAUGCAAGUCGUGGGGCAGCAGGUUUGUAGCAAUACAGAUGCUGGCGACCGGCAAACGGGUGCGGAACACGUACAGAACCUUCCUUUGAGCGGGGAAUAGCCCAGAGAAAUUUGGAUUAAUCCCCCAUAGUAUAAUGAAGUGGCAUCACUUUAUUAUUAAAGAUUUAUCACUCGAAGAUGGCUGUGCGGCUGAUUAGGUAGUUGGCGGGGUAAAGGCCCACCAAGCCUGCGAUCAGUAACUGGUGUGAGAGCACGACCAGUCACACGGGCACUGAGACACGGGCCCGACUCCUACGGGAGGCAGCAGUAAGGAAUAUUGGUCAAUGGAGGCAACUCUGAACCAGCCAUGCCGCGUGGAGGAUGAAGGUCCUCUGGAUUGUAAACUUCUUUAUAUGGGACGAAAAAGGCUUUUCUAAGUCGUCUGACGGUACCAUAUGAAUAAGCACCGGCUAACUCCGUAGCCAGCAGCCG
rnacentral:rRNA from 1 species